rnacentral:tRNA from 1 species
AUCUAAAUAGUUUAAUAAAAAUAUUGAUUUGUGAUUUCAAAGUUAAAUAGAUUUUUUAGAUA